rnacentral:rRNA from 1 species
ACUCCUACGGGAGGCAGCAGUGGGGAAUAUUGGGCAAUGGGCGCAAGCCUGACCCAGCAACGCCGCGUGAAGGAAGAAGGCUUUCGGGUUGUAAACUUCUUUUCUCAGGGACGAAGAAAGUGACGGUACCUGAGGAAUAAGCCACGGCUAACUACGUGCCAGCAGCCGCGGUAAUACGUAGGUGGCAAGCGUUAUCCGGAUUUACUGGGUGUAAAGGGCGUGUAGGCGGGGAAGCAAGUCAGAUGUGAAAACCGCGGGCUCAACCUUUGGCCUGCAUUUGAAACUGUUUUUCUU